GUAAUAUGUAGACGGGCCUUACCCGAAAGGGCAGAGAGGCUAUUUCCAAUCGACCCUCGGCUCGGUGAAGGAAAGGAAAAACAAAAACAAAGACAAAAACAAAAGAGCAUUAGUAACUCCAGCGGCCUUACCCGAAAGGGCAGAGAGGCUGUUUCCAAUCGACCCUCGGCUCGGUGAAGGAAUGGAACAACAAAAACAACAACAACAACAACAAAAGAACAUUAGUAGCUUCAGCAGAAAUAGCAUAAAUAAUUAUCUAAACAUAAGAACCAUAAAUAAAAUAGCAUGCAAUAAUAUCAGACAGUAACUACUAUAAAUAACAUGCAAUAAUAAGGAAGACACAUUACGAUGAAAGCUAAGCCACUUGACUGAUAAAAGAGAUGCAAGCAAUUUCCAUGUAUAGAUUUCAUGAAAAACACAAACCUUUUUCAUGAUUAAUUGAAAAACUUUACAUAGUUAUGAAUUCCAUGCAACAUUAUAUUAUGGAUAGUAUUGGAAAU
rnacentral:lncRNA from 1 species